UCUUUUGGGGGUUAUCAUGGUGGGUUCUUCUUUCUUUUGGGGGUUAUCAUGGUGGGUUCUUCUUUCUUUUGGGGGUUAUCAUGGUACUCUUGUCUGGUUUUUACUUCUUCUUGGUUUGGGGAGUUGGCACAGGAUUGCUGCUCCUUUUCUUGAGGCAAAGCACAACCCUGAGAUUUGGGGGUGCUGCAGUUCCUCUUACUUGCCUUGAUGGGGAGGCAAUCAGGAUGAGGCUGUGUUCUCUAGCCCAGCCCCGGUGCUGCUGUAGGGUGAGAACUUCAGGGGCACCUUUCACAGCAAGGAUCAACCAAAGCCUGUGAGCAGUUCAGGAGCCAGUGAAACUAUGGAGGCUCAAAGAGCAGCUCUCGGCUGGCCCCAGUGAGGCCCAUUUGUGCUAAUGAAGAAAUGAUCUCCAGGUGCUGUGAGACUGGGAUUGUUUGGGCACAGCUGUACUCAGUUGGAGUGUGGGGCAGGACCUGGUGGAAAGCUUUUUAGGCUCUGCCAGUUGUUCCUGGAGCUCCCUGUCUCUAGCAAGAAGCUGGUAGUGCAAGUGGCUGCUUAUGUAUUCACAUCCUGCCUGCUUUGGAGGUAAUGCAGGGCCACUGGUGGACUCCCUCUGCUUUUAUUGAAGUCUAGAUGGUGCUGAGGGGGGUGAGGGCUGCAACAGGACCUCUGGAAGCAAGGAUCAGCAGUGGAGUGGAUACCAGACUGUGGCCAAUCCUUGCUGUUUGGGACCAGCAGGAGGAUGCCAGUGGACCUGGAUAGCCCUUGGGUUGGAGUUAAGCUGGGUGUUGGAAGAUAGACUCUGUGGUGUGCAGGUGAGUUGUGCAGUGUUAUGUUUCCUUUCCAGCCCUGAUAGUGUGAUCCACCUGGAGGUGUGGGGUUGAUGGAUUGAUAAGUAUGGUGAGCACAGUGUGUGUAGUGCAACAGCCUGUUGUGGUGGGAGUUUAGGGUCCUGGUUCUGAUUCCCUCCAUCUUGUCUGGUGGUUUACAGGGAGGGACCCUGCAUUUCUGAGUUGUCUUUGUGUUUUGCAGGUUGUGGUGUGGUUGACAUUGAAGGCCACCAGUCCUGCUCUUGUCAAGUUCAUUUAGGAACUGCAAUGUGUGGGAGUGAAUGGGGAGUGCAUGGCAGGUGCCCUGAUGGAAGGAUAGAUAUGAGGUGUUGGUGGUCCUUUGAAUGUGAGUAUUGUGAUUUUUUUUUUUUCCCAGGUCUCUAUUGAGCCCUGUAAACUCUUUUUUUUGUUGUUGUUGUUGUCUUAAAGUUGUUGGCAGAAACAGCUGUUCCUGUGAUUUGUGCUGGCUGUGUCCUUGUUCACAGUGUGACUGGUGAGGCAAUUUUUGUCUGUAUUUGGGUUUGCUUGGUGAUUCUCAAAUGCACAGGGAGGCUGAUACUGGCAAGUAAGGUAUCCUACAGGGGGGCAGGCUGCCUUUGUUCCUGAGAGGGAGGUUUGGCUGUGCAGUUAUUUCAGGUCUGUUGUAAUGAAUUUGGUUUGGUGACUGUCUUAGGUGUGGCAUUUUGUUGACUUGUUUGUCCUUUUGUGUUUUCUUUUUGAGUUAAAGUGUGUUCCUGUACCAUUUGUUUUGUGGAGCAUCUGUUUGGACCAGGCUGUCAAGUAAGUCUUAUGGUUUUGGUGUAUUUUCUCAGUGUUCUUGUUUCCUUAAGGGAAGGAAUUUUGGGGUUGAUUAUAGUUAAAGCUGUGGAUUGUUUUAGUAAGGUGUUGUGAGUAUUUGCACAUGAAUAUUGUGGUUUUUUUUCAGUGUAGUCAUCCUGGUUUUGGUGCUUUUUGCUCUAGUUGGCUGU